rnacentral:RNase_P_RNA from 1 species
UUUUGACAAACGCUGCAUUCUUAGUAAUGUAGAGGAAAGUCCAUACUUGCACAGUCUGCGAUGACUGUAGUGUUUGUGCUUAGGGAAAAAAUAACCUAAGGUAGACUUUGUCUAACGACGUUUGAUGGCCUAAGGCUUGUCUAUGGUCUAGAACAUAAAGUGCCGCAGUGACGAUGCUUUUAGAAAUGAAAGAGUGAAACGUGGUAAACUCCGCAAGCAAGAAACCCAAAUUAUGGUAGGGGAACCUAAUAGAAAAGAAAUGAAUUUUCUAUGGGACUGGGUUACCAGUAGAUAGAUGUUUGUCGCCUAGUAAUAGGAACAGAAUAUGGCUUAUAA